CAGUCGCGCGGUAAAACGGAGGAUCCAAGCGUUAUCCGGAUUUAUUGGGUUUAAAGGGUGCGUAGGUGGCCUGUUAAGUCAGGGGUGAAAGACGGUAGCUCAACUAUCGCAGUGCCCUUGAUACUGAUGGGCUUGAAUGAACUAGAGGUAGGCGGAAUGUGACAAGUAGCGGUGAAAUGCAUAGAUAUGUCACAGAACACCAAUUGCGAAGGCAGCUUACUAUGGUUUGAUUGACACUGAGGCACGAAAGCGUGGGGAUCAAACAGGAUUAGAUACCCCGGUAGUCCCUGUCUCUUAUACA
rnacentral:rRNA from 1 species